AACUUUCAACAACGGAUCUUUGGGUUCGGGCAUCAAUAAAAAACCCACCAAAAGGCAAAAAGUAAGGGGAAUUGCAAAAUUCAGGGAAUCAUCAAAUCUUUGAACGCACUUUGCGCCCGCGGGAAUUCCAGCGGGCAUGCCGGUUCAAGCGUCAUUU
rnacentral:rRNA from 1 species